GUUGCAGAAUGGGCAAUCCGCUGUUGGGCAAUCAUCCUCCCGAAAACCCGCCACCACCGCCGGGAUUUUAGCGACGGCGGGAGGCCUACUCAACGCCCAAUCUGAUCCAGCCUGACCACUUUCUUAAAUAACUGUAGGGAACCUCGAAAUAUGGGUACUCGAAACACCUCAAAAAUAUCAUCUGAGUUAAGUAUUACCAAAAUCACUGCACAACCUAAAGGGAGGAAUUCUAUUUAAUGCUGCUUUUCAAUAGCUGUUUCUCGACUAAACUCUAAAAUAGGCUUGUAGUCAAAUGCAUGAAAAUCAAAGGAAACGUUUCGUAACAACAGUUGGAUCGGGCUAAGAUGUCAAAAACAAGUUAUGUGUACAACUAAAUAUGAAUAAUGAAAAUAAAAUAUUCAUGCACAAUGGAAAACUAUAUGAUCUAUUGGUAUUCAAGAGCUCCCAAGUUCUCUCAACGUUCGUUCACCAUUUACAUAGACAUGUACAUGAUCACGUUGAGGUUUACAGAAUAAAUUCUGUAAGAAUACCUAAAUUACACAGAGGUCCGAGAAAUCAAAGUCCAAUAGUUAACGGUCCCAUGAUCCAAUUCUUUAGUCCUUGCGGGCUGAGGAUUAUUUUUGCUUGUUAUUCUCCUGCUCAAAAACAAUUGUAAAUUCUAAAUGGAGUAGGGAUAAAUAUAAAGCUGAACCACAUUUAAAAAACCUGAACUGGGACGUAACAGCCCAUCCAGUUCAAUACUGAGGUGCCAUUGUCUGUCCGAGGCCUCGUCCACGGAGAUCUUGACCACUUUAAUCCGCCAGCCUUGAGUGAACGUCAGCUGCUCAGGAUGGAAGAGAACACGGCUUCACCGUGGAGCCUCUGAUUCUGAACUCCGACCUCCCAAGUGUAUGAAAGUGAGCUUGGGAGAGUCGUAUGAAUGCAAUUUCAGCCGCUGUCUUCCACCUUCUUCUUUGAUUCUCUCUCCGUUUGAUUAUCUCUUUUGUUCCUCCUUCCUUUGUCAUCCGUUUUUCUUCUUUCGCUUUUCUACCCUGCUUCCCAACUCUCGGGGCUACCAACCUUGUUCCAACAGCGAUACUCUAAUACCGCCGUCUUUUGGCCAAUGUCAGAAGUCACACGACGCCAGGUUGUAGCCUAACAGGUUUAUUGGAAAUCACACAAGCUUUUGGAGCGCAGCCCCUUCGUCAGGUACUGCGCUCCGAAAGUUUGAGAGAUUUCAAAUUAACCUGUUGGAGUAUAACCUGGUGUCGUGCGAAUUCUGACUUGUCCACGCCAGUCCAAACCCGGCACCUCCACUUUUUGGCUGAUGACAUUAAUAUGUAUCACACCGUUGUAAAUUAUUAAAUUCUAACCUGCAAAAAUAUCAGCAAACCGCGGCCCAGCACGAAAUCCCAAGAGUCUGAAAGGUUAUUUUUCCUUUACAAAUUACGACCGUUUUUAUGGUAACAUAAGUGUGAGGCGUCCAGCGAGAACAAUAUAGAGGCAGCAAAGCAAAUAUUUUUGCAUUUAUUCGGAUAUUUACAAACAACUUCAAUCAUAUUUUGAUUUUGGCAAUAAAAAGAGGCAUUUCCAAUAACUUUACUUCCCAGCCCGUCAUACUCGACACAGAAAUAUCACAGUCUUCAAACGGUGGUACGGAUGACAAUAUAUACAUUGAAAAUGUCUGUUUCAAAUGUUAUUGUUUUCGAUUCAGAUCUUGUGACAUGACAACACCUUCAUUUAGUGAAAGGCAGCUGUGAUAAAACUAUCCUGCGAACAAUAGAUAUCCCAUUUACUCAAAUCAGACCUCAAUAAACACUUUUUUCAAUCAA